rnacentral:rRNA from 1 species
GGGUGCGUAGGUUGGUCGUGCCACCGGUACGUACUGCUCUCACUGAUUCCUCCUUCCUGAAGAACCGUAAUGCCAUUAAUUUGGUGUUGCGGGGAAACAGGACUGUUACUUUGAAAAAAUUAGAGUGUUUAAAGCAAGCUAACGCUUGAAUACAUUAGCAUGGAAUAAUGAAAUAGGACGAUCGAUCCUAUUUUGUUGGGUUCUAGGAUUGACGUA